UUGUUUUUGUUACGAUAGUUUACAUUCUUUACAUUUUGUUUGUGUGGUCCCUCCGGGCCAGGCCCCACCGGUGAAGGUGAGGCCCUAUGCAGCCCUCGGGAAUGGUUCACGGUGUGUGUGGAUGAAGACACGGCCUUUCGGCCAAUCUAUAAUGAUCCUUCCGCAGGUUCACCUACGGAAA
rnacentral:misc_RNA from 1 species